GACGAACGCUGGCGGCGUGCCUAAUACAUGCAAGUAGAACGCUGAAGAGAGGAGCUUACUCUUCUUGGAUGAGUUGCGAACGGGUGAGUAACGCGUAGGUAACCUGCCUUGUAGCGGGGGAUAACUAUUGGAAACGAUAGCUAAUACCGCAUAACAAUGGAUGACACAUGUCAUUUAUUUGAAAGGGGCAAUUGCUCCACUACAAGAUGGACCUGCGUUGUAUUAGCUAGUAGGUGAGGUAAUGGCUCACCUAGGCGACGAUACAUAGCCGACCUGAGAGGGUGAUCGGCCACACUGGGACUGAGACACGGCCCAGACUCCUACGGGAGGCAGCAGUAGGGAAUCUUCGGCAAUGGGGGCAACCCUGACCGAGCAACGCCGCGUGAGUGAAGAAGGUUUUCGGAUCGUAAAGCUCUGUUGUAAGUCAAGAACGGGUGUGAGAGUGGAAAGUUCACACUGUGAAGGUAGCUUACCAGAAAGAGACGGCUAACUACGUG
rnacentral:rRNA from 1 species